CCUACGGGAGGCAGCAGUGGGGAAUAUUGCACAAUGGGGGAAACCCUGAUGCAGCGACGCCGCGUGAGUGAAGAAGUAAUUCGUUAUGUAAAGCUCUAUCAGCAGGGAAGAAAAUGACGGUACCUGAGUAAGAAGCCCCGGCUAACUACGUGCCAGCAGCCGCGGUAAUACGUAGGGGGCAAGCGUUAUCCGGAUUUACUGGGUGUAAAGGGAGCGUAGACGGCUGUGCAAGUCUGAAGUGAAAGCCCGUGGCUCAACCGCGGAAGUGCGUUGGAAACUGUAUAGCUUGAGUACUGGAGAGGCAGGCGGAAUUCCUAGUGUAGCGGUGAAAUGCGUAGAUAUUAGGAGGAACACCAGUGGCGAAGGCGGUCUGCUGGACAGAAACUGACGUUGAGGCUCGAAAGCGUGGGGAGCAAACAGGAUUAGAUACCCUGGUAGUC
rnacentral:rRNA from 1 species